CUAUCCCUUCCACUCGGGAUAAACCUACUAUGACAUGCGUUGGUGGUAACGUCAAAGUAUGAAGCUCAUAGGACAAUGUAGGAAGCAAGGAAUUCCAAUCCUUGACUAACUGCUAGGUUAAGGAAAUUAUGAAGAGCAUAAUGCGAAC
rfam:Methanomethylovorans hollandica DSM 15978 plasmid pMETHO01, complete sequence.